UGGGAAUCUUGCGCAAUGGGCGAAAGCCUGACGCAGCCAUGCCGCGUGAAUGAUGAAGGUCUUAGGAUUGUAAAUUCUUUCACCGGGGACGAUAAUGACGGUACCCGGAGAAGAAGCCCCGGCUAACUUCGUGCCAGCAGCCGCGGUAAUACGAAGGGGGCUAGCGUUGCUCGGAAUUACUGGGCGUAAAGGGAGCGUAGGCGGACAUUUAGGUCAGGGGUGAAAUCCCGGGGCUCAACCUCGGAAUUGCCUUUGAUACUGGGUGUCUUGAGUGUGAGAGAGGUAUGUGGAACUCCGAGUGUAGAGGUGAAAUUCGUAGAUAUUCGGAAGAACACCAGUGGCGAAGGCGACAUACUGGCUCAUUACUGACGCUGAGGCUCGAAAGCGUGGGGAGCAAACAGGAUUAGAUACCCUGGUAGUCCACGCCGUAAACGAUGAUUGCUAGUUGUCGGGAUGCAUGCAUUUCGGUGACGCAGCUAGCGUAUAGCAAUCCGCCUGGGGAGUACGGUCGCAAGAUUAAAACUCAAAUGAAUUGACGGGGUCAUAGCUGUUUCCUG
rnacentral:rRNA from 1 species